rnacentral:rRNA from 1 species
GCAUGCGUGAAGCCCAAGACAUAAGGGGCAUGACGUCAAGUCCUCAUGGCCCUUAUGGUAGGGCUUCACACGUCAUACAAUGGUACAUACAGAGGGCCGCCAACCCGCGAGGGGGAGCUAAUCCCAGAAAGUGUAUCGUAGUCCGGAUUGUAGUCUGCAACUCGACUACAUGAAGUUGGAAUCGCUAGUAAUCGCGGAUCAGCAUGUCGCGGUGAAUACGUUCCCGGGUCUUGUACACACCG